AAACCGUAUUGUGGGCAUGAACUGAUAAAAUCCUAGAACCGCUCCCAACAUUAGAAGAAUGUUUCAUCUUCCUUUUGGGAGAAGUUCAUGAUUGACUUUCUAGGGGU